rnacentral:misc_RNA from 1 species
UAUUAAAAUGAUAAUUUUAAUUUUUGCUAUAUGUUUAAUUUAAUAAUACCUUACUAAACAUAGCUUAAAAUAAUUUAAAUUAAAUUUUAUAAAUUCGUUAAGAAUAGCUAUGUAUUUAUUUUACUCAUGUAUGUAAUUUAAUUAAUUAUGAUAUGAAUAAUCAAUCAAAUUUCUAAUAUAAAUACGCAAUGGUUCCUAUUGAUAAUCUGUUAAAAAAAAAGUUCCUAUUGAUAAAGAUUGCUUUGGCCUAUUAGAUUAGAAUUAGAAAAGGGUACUUUCUGAACACAGCAGCCAGAGAAAAAAAAAUGGCAAGCAUGAAGCCUUGAACUCUUGCAGAUUUGAGAUUCUGAAAGGGAACGAAGGAGGAAAAGAAAGCAUAGAAGGGAGAUCUGAGAUUCUGAAAGGGAAAGGAGGAGGAAAAGAAAGCAUAGAAGAAA